GUCAUGAAAUCUAUCCACUCAGAGUUAUAUGAAGGAAAGGUAAUAUGGAGACGUGGUUAGAUGAGGAGGAUUCACUAAAAUGUUUGCUCAAGUCAGUAACUGAAGCCAACUUAUUGGUGGCAAUUAGGUUAAAACAUUACAGUUUACUUAAUCUGAUGAAUCUCAUGAGUUGAGCAUCCAGGACUUCAGUGUAUUUAGAAAUGAAGAUUCUCUAUUGCUGGGUUAUUCUUGGAAAUAUCAUUCAACGUUCUUAUACCAAUUUUGCAUCAGUAACAACAGUCUUAUUGUUUGAAAAAUCUCUUCCCAAUAGUUGUAAAUUGAAGAAUUCAGGAAGCAGCACAGUGACAUCUACAAAAAAGAAUUCUCUGGAAGAAGAUUUCACCAUCUCUAACAAAUCCAACUUUGAUUUCAUUUCUGCAUAGGUCAUUCCAUAUGACACUGGUGAAUGCCUUUGGCAACAAUACACCCUGUUCUAUGAUUUUCUUCAUACUGUUAGAGAAUUGUUAAAUAGGAUUAUCAAAGGGGUUAUAAACAUCAAGGAAUCUCACAUGACCUUAAGAUAAACAUGGGAGCAACUUUGUUGUAGGACUACAUUUAUUUGACAGGUUUAAAAAUGGAGAAGUGUCUAAUAUAUGAUUCGUUAUAAAUCACAUAUUGAGAAUUUUUUCAUUUAAAAAAUCUAUCUUUGCAAAAAUAGUUCCUGUGAAAAUUAACUUUGGAAGACUAAAAUAUUAUCAAAGUCUCAACCAAACUGAAUAUCUUCCAUCCAUAUGUGUGCAUUCCAUUUCUGUUAGUUGUCCUUUAAAGCCACCAAAUGUUAUAAAUAAAAAUAUCUUGGUUCUUUAAUUUAUGUUAUUC
ensembl:lncRNA